rnacentral:rRNA from 1 species
UUGAACGCUGGCGGCAUGCUUUACACAUGCAAGUCGAACGGUAACAGGCCGCAAGGUGCUGACGAGUGGCGAACGGGUGAGUAAUGCAUCGGAACGUGCCCAGUCGUGGGGGAUAACUACUCGAAAGAGUAGCUAAUACCGCAUACGAUCUAUGGAUGAAAGCGGGGGACCGUAAGGCCUCGCGCGAUUGGAGCGGCCGAUGUCAGAUUAGGUAGUUGGUGGGGUAAAGGCUCACCAAGCCAACGAUCUGUAGCUGGUCUGAGAGGACGACCAGCCACACUGGGGCUGAGACACGGCCCAGACUCCUACGGGAGGCAGCAGUGGGGAAUUUUGGACAAUGGGCGCAAGCCUGAUCCAGCAAUGCCGCGUGCAGGAAGAAGGCCUUCGGGUUGUAAACUGCUUUUGUACGGAACGAAACGGCUCUGGUUAAUACCCGGGGCUAAUGACGGUACCGUAAGAAUAAGCACCGGCUAACUACGUG